UUUCGCAAUGCCCGAAAGGGUGACGAAGCGACGCCGCGUGGGUGAGGAAGGCCCUCGGGUUGUAAAGCCCUGUCAGGAGUUAAGAAAUGUAAGUGCGCUAAUAUCGCAUUUAUUUGACGAAGGCUCCAAAGGAAGCCACGGCUAACUCUGUGCCAGCAGCCGCGGUAAUACAGAGGUGGCAAGCGUUGUUCGGAAUCAUUGGGCGUAAAGAGCACGUAGGUGGGUUUGUAAGUCAGAUGUGAAAGCCUUCUGUUCAACGGAAGAAUUGCAUCUGAAACUACAAGUCUUGAGUGUAGGAGGGGAGAAUGGAACUUCUGGUGGAGCGGUGAAAUGCGUAGAUAUCAGAAGGAACGCCGGCGGCGAAAGCGAUUCUCUGGCCUAUUACUGACACUCAGUGUGCGAAAGCUAGGGGAGCAAACGGGAUUAGAUACCCCGGUAGUCCUAGCCGUAAACGAUGGGCACUAAGUAGAGGGGUUUUA
rnacentral:rRNA from 1 species